UUCUUUAAAUGGGGACUUGUAUCAACGGCACCACGAGGGUUAGACUGUCUCCUUUUUCAAAUCAGUGAAAUUAAUCUCCCCGUGAAGAAGCGGGGAUACUCAUAUAAGACGAGAAGACCCCAUGGAGCUUCAAACCCAACUACACCCCUAGCUCUUAUAGCCCCACAACCCCCCUAGGCACCGUGUGCUUGGUUUUAGGUUGGGGCGACCGCGGAGUACAAUAAAACCUCCACAAUGAAUGGGAACACCCCCUUAUCUGAGGGCCACACCCCCUAAGAAUUAGAACACUAACAUAAAAUGAUCCAUUACUUGAUCAAUGAACCAAGUUACCCUGGGGAUAACAGCGCAAUCCAUUUCAAGAGCCCCU
rnacentral:rRNA from 1 species